GACGAACGCUGGCGGCGUGCUUAACACAUGCCAGUCGAACGGAAAGGCCCUGCUUUUGUGGGGUGCUCGAGUGGCGAACGGGUGAGUAACACGUGAGUAACCUGCCCUUGACUUUGGGAUAACUUCAGGAAACUGGGGCUAAUACCGGAUAGGAGCUCCUGUUGCAUGGUGGGGGUUGGAAAGUUUCGGCGGUUGGGGAUGGAUUCGCGGCUUAUCAGCUUGCUGGUGGGGUAGUGGCUUACCCAGGCUUUGGCGGGUAGGCGGCCUGAGAGGGUGACCGGCGACAUGAGGACUGCGGUACGGCCCAGACGCGUACGGUAGGCAGCAGUGGGGAAUAUUGCACAGUGGGCGGGAGCCUGAUGCGACAGCGCCGCGUGCGUGAUGACGUCCUUCGGGGUGUAAACCGCUUUCGGCUGUGACGAAGCGUGAGUGACGGUAAUGGGUAAAGAAGCACCGGCUAACUACGUG
rnacentral:rRNA from 1 species